UUUAUGGAGAGUUUGAUCCUGGCUCAGGAUGAACGCUGGCGGCGUGCCUAAUACAUGCAAGUUGAGCGAACGGACGAGAAGCUUGCUUCUCUGAUGUUAGCGGCGGACGGGUGAGUAACACGUGGAUAACCUACCUAUAAGACUGGGAUAACUUCGGGAAACCGGAGCUAAUACCGGAUA
rnacentral:rRNA from 1 species